AAUCUUCGGCAAUGGACGAAAGUCUGACCGAGCGACGCCGCGUGCGGGAUGAAGGCCCUCGGGUUGUAAACCGCUGUCAGUAGUUAGGAAAUCUAUGAGGGUCCUCUCUCGUAGUUGACCGAUCUUCAGAGGAAGGACGGGCUAAGUUCGUGCCAGCAGCCGCGGUAAGACGAACCGUCCAAACGUUAUUCGGUAUCACUGGGCUUAAAGCGUGCGUAGGCGGCUUGGUAGGUGAGAUGUGAAAGCCCACGGCUCAACCGUGGAAUUGCGUUUCAAACCCCCAAGCUCGAGGAAGAUAGGGGUGAUGGGAACUUAUGGUGGAGCGGUGAAAUGCGUUGAUAUCAUAGGGAACACCGGUGGCGAAAGCGCAUCACUGGAUCUUUUCUGACGCUGAGGCACGAAAGCUAGGGUAGCGAACGGGAUUAGAUACCCUGGUAGUCCACGCCGUA
rnacentral:rRNA from 1 species